rnacentral:rRNA from 1 species
UGCGUAGGCGGCUUUUUAAGUCGGAUGUGAAAUCCCUGAGCUUAACUUAGGAAUUGCAUUCGAUACUGGAAGGCUAGAGUAUGGGAGAGGAUGGUAGAAUUCCAGGUGUAGCGGUGAAAUGCGUAGAGAUCUGGAGGAAUACCGAUGGCGAAGGCAGCCAUCUGGCCUAAUACUGACGCUGAGGUACGAAAGCAUGGGGAGCAAACA